rnacentral:rRNA from 1 species
GACGAACGCUGGCGGCGUGCUUAACACAUGCAAGUCGAGCGGUAAGGCCCCUUCGGGGGUACACGAGCGGCGAACGGGUGAGUAACACGUGGGUGACCUGUCCUCAGCUCUGGGAUAAGCCUGGGAAACCGGGUCUAAUACCGGAUAUGACUCCAUGACGCAUGUUGUGGGGUGGAAAGCCUUGUGCGGCUGAGGAUGGGCCCGCGGCCUAUCAGCUUGUUGGUGGGGUGAUGGCCUACCAAGGCGACGACGGGUAGCCGGCCUGAGAGGGCGACCGGCCACACUGGGACUGAGACACGGCCCAGACUCCUACGGGAGGCAGCAGUGGGGAAUAUUGGACAAUGGGCGCAAGCCUGAUCCAGCGAUGCCGCGUGUGUGAAGAAGGCCUGCGGGUUGUAAAGCACUUUCAGU